GUCGAGAAUCAUUCACAAUGGGGGAAACCCUGAUGGAGCGACGCCGCGUGGAGGAUAAGGUCUUCGGAUUGUAAACUCCUGUCAUGCGUGAACAAGGUUGCUUGGUUAAUACCUGGGCAAAUUGAUGGUAACGCAAGAGGAAGAGACGGCUAACUCUGUGCCAGCAGCCGCGGUAAUACAGAGGUCUCAAGCGUUGUUCGGAAUCACUGGGCGUAAAGGGUGCGUAGGUGGCGUGGUAAGUCAGAUGUGAAAGCCCGGGGCUCAACCUCGGAACUGCAUCCGAUACUGCCAUGCUAGAGUACUGGAGAGGUGACUAGAAUUCUCGGUGUAGCAGUGAAAUGCGUAGAUAUCGAGAGGAAUACCAAAGGCGUAGGCAGGUCACUGGACAGUUACUGACACUGAGGCACGAAGGCCAGGGGAGCGAACGGGAUUAGAUACCCUGGUAGUCC
rnacentral:rRNA from 1 species